rnacentral:lncRNA from 1 species
UAGGCUCAAUUUUCCUACAUAAUUAAGAGUUUGGAAUUCGGGCAAUAUCAAGAACCACAUCUGUCCUGAAAUCAAUUAUCUCUGUUUGGCACUUUUCUGAUUUUAGAAACACAAGAAAUAAGAAGACCAUUUUGAGAAGAACAGAGAGUAGCCUUAAGAAAAUCCCUGUCGCAAGCACUCUGGGAUUUGGACUCAAAUGCUAAUUAUACAGUCUAUAAUGAUGACUGGAAUAGGAAAUUCGGACAGCAAAAGUGGUCGCUUCUUAGGCUUCCUGCCAGAUUUUGAAAACCACUAUAACUAGUCGUUUCUGCCAAG